rnacentral:rRNA from 1 species
GACGAACGCUGGCGGCGUGCUUAACACAUGCAAGUCGAACGGAAAGGCCCCUUUGGGGGUACUCGAGUGGCGAACGGGUGAGUAACACGUGAGUAACCUGCCCUUGACUUCGGGAUAACUUCAGGAAACUGGGGCUAAUACCGGAUAGGAAUCCUUGCUGCAUGGUGGGGGUUGGAAAGCUUCGGCGGUUUUGGAUGGACUCGCGGCUUAUCAGCUUGUUGGUGGGGUAGUGGCUUACCAAGGCUUUGACGGGUAGCCGGCCUGAGAGGGCGACCGGCCACAUUGGGACUGAGAUUCGGCCCAGACUCCCAAGGGGGGCAGCCGUGGGGAAUAUUGCACAAUGGGCGGAAGCCUGAUGCAGCAACGCCGCGUGCGGGAUGACGGCCUUCGGGUUGUAAACCGCUUUCAGCAGGGGCGAAGCUUGUGGUGACGGUACCUGCAGAAGAAGCACCGGCUAACUACGUG